GAUGAAGAACGUAGCGAAAUGCGAUAAGUAAUGUGAAUUGCAGAAUUCAGUGAAUCAUCGAAUCUUUGAACGCACCUUGCGCCCUUUGGACUUCUGAAGGGCAUGCCUGUUUGAGUAUCAUGAACACCUCAACUCCCUAUGGUCUUCCAUGAUGAGCUUGGACUUUGGGGGUUUUGCUGGCCUACAGUCAGCUCCUCUAAAAUAAAUCAGCUUACCGGUGUUUGGUGGGUAUCAUGGGUGUGAUAACUAUCUACGCUCGUGGUUUUCCACCAGGUAACCUUCAGCAGUGGAGGUUCACUGGAGCUCAUAGAUGUCUCUCCUCAGCGAGGACAGCCCUUUGAAUGUUUGAUCUCAAAUCAGGUAGGACUACCCGCUGAACUUAAGCAUAUCAAUAAGCGGAGGA
rnacentral:misc_RNA from 1 species